rnacentral:ncRNA from 1 species
ACAGGUGCCGAGAAGACGACCAAACUUGAUCAUUUAGAGGAAGUAAAAGUCGUAAUAAGGUUUCCGAAGGUUAACCUACGAAGGAUCAUUA